AUGCGAAUCCUUAUAGACAUUUUCGCGAUCAAAUGCACUUCGAUGCUCGCAGAGUGAUGAUUUGCAUCAAAUCUCAAUAUUUUAAUCUCAAUAGAAUUCUUUUACUUACUGUUGGCUUAUGGCCCUAUCAGCAAUCAAAAUUCGUUCGCCUUCAGAUCAUCUUAUUUUUUAGCACUUUAAUAAGCUUUGUUAUAUUCCAGCUCACAGCGUUCAUAACUACCGAGUGUACAUCUGAAUUUAUCAUUAAGAUUCUUUCUACCGCAAUGUUUAUUAGUGUUUAUAUAAUUCAAUACUAUGGUUUCUGGAUGAAUGUCCAUAAUGUAAAAUGUUUAUUGGAG